ensembl:piRNA 21ur-3761 ncRNA
AUUGAAUUUAGUCUGUGGAAG